CAAGAUUUGAAUUGAGAAGUCAUUUAAUGUCCUGGCUCGUCCUUCAAGAAAUGCUCUAGAGUGCCUGCUUUUCACCUUGUUAAACUAAAGGAAGACAAUUGACACCUUCAACAUUCUGCCUGACAACUCAUUAGCUGGAUCCAACAGUUCUUGAGAAAGGCCCUGUGAAAAUCCAGGCACCUGCAUGUGCUAUAAGCCAACACUGACGGGCCAUGAAUGGAGGUUUUAUGUUUCUAGAGUGGGAAUUUCCACCAAUCAAGAGGACACCAGGCUCAUCUCAAACAUAAUUUCCUUCAAAGGAUUCCCUGGUCUUGUCCCCCACGUUCCCAGCAGUUAGUUCCUCUCCCAUUGUGCAUUAUACUAACUGGCAUACAACUCUGAUAUGGUAUGUAUGGCAUGUUGUGAACUAUUUGUUUGGCAUAUUUAACUUCCUUCAACUAUGAUCUUCUCAAGAGCAGGGAUUUAUAUUUGCAUUCUCUGGAUCUAACCCAGUGCCUCAUAUGGUGCGCAUCUAAUACCUUUGUUAAAUACAUGAAUAAAUGAUAUAGCUUGGCAUACAUGAACCAUGAUAAAGUUAGAAAUUAUUUCAGUGGCUUUAUCAAUUGCUGGAAUGUCAGACCUACUUGUUAA